CAUUGAAAGAAGAAGUACGUAGAAAUGAAUUAAGUUUGAAGAAGAUGUGACUGAAAGAUUUGUAGGAUUAGUGAAAUAAGUGAGUUUUUCAAUUAUAUAAGAAAAGUGCUAAUGACUGAAAAGAAAAUUAAAAGAAAACAUUGAAAGAAGAAGUACAGAAGAAAUUAAUAAAGCUUGAAGAAGAUGUGACUGAAAGAUUUGUAGGAUUAGUGAAAUAAGUGAGUUUUUCAAUAAUAUAAGAAAAGUGCUUAUGACUGAAAAGAAAAUUAAAAGAAAACAUUGAAAGAAAAAGUAGAGUAGAAAUUAAUUAAGUUUGAAGAAGAUGUACGAUUUGUAGAUUUUGAGGAUUAAUAAUGAAAUAAGGGAGAUUUUCAACGUUAUAAAGACAAAGAAAAAAAAUUAAAAGAAAAUAUUGAAAGAAGAAGUACAGUAGAAAUUAAUUAAGUUUGAAGAAGAUGUACGAUUUGUAGAUUUUGAGGAUUAAUAAUGAAAUAAGGGAGAUUUUCAACGUUAUAAAGACAAAGAAAAAAAAUUAAAAGAAAAUAUUGAAAGAAGAAGUACAGUAGAAAUUAAUUAAGUUUGAAGAAGAUGUACGAUUUGUAGAUUUUGAGGAUUAAUAACGAAAUAAGUGAGGUUUUCAAUGUUAUAAAAAACGUGCUAAUGACUGAAAAGAAAAUUAAAGGAAAACAAUGAAAGAAAUACAGUUGAAAUUAAUUAAGUCUAAAGAAGAUUCGACUGUUAGAUUUCUAUGAUUAAUAAAAUAAGUGAGUUUUCAACAUAAUAAGAAAAGUGCUGAUGAGUGAAUAGAAAAUUGAAAGAAAAUAUUGAAAAGGAGAACAGUAGAAAAUAAUGAAGUUUGAAGAAUGGAUUUUUUAGGAUUAGUAAAACAAGUGAAAUUGAAAGAAAAUAUUGAAAAGGAGAACAGUAGAAAAUAAUGAAGUUUGAAGAAUGGAUUUUUUAGGAUUAGUGAAACAAGUGAAAUUGAAAGAAAAUAUUGAAAAGGAGAACAGUAGAAAAUAAUGAAGCUUGGAGAAUGGAUGUUUUAGGAUUAGUGAAACAAGUGAAAUUGAAAGAAAAUAUUGAAAAGGAGAACAGUAGAAAAUAAUGAAGUUUGAAGAAUGGGUUUUUUAGGAUUAGUGAAACAAGUGAAAUUGAAAGAAAAUAUUGAAAAGAAGUACAGUAGAAAAUAAUGAAGUUUGAAGAAUGGGUUUUUUAGGAUUAGUAAAACAAGUGAAAUUGAAAGAAUAUAUUGAAAACGAGAACAGUAGAAAAUAAUGAAGUUUGGAGAAUGGAUUUUUUAGGAUUAGUGAAACAAGUGAAAUUGAAAGAAAAUAUUGAAAAGGAGAACAGUAGAAAAUAAUGAAGCUUGGAGAAUGGAUUUUUUAGGAUUAGUAAAACAAGUGAAAUUGAAAGAAAGUAUUGAAAAGGAGAACAGUAGAAAAUAAUGAAGUUUGAAGAAUGGGUUUUUUAGGAUUAGUGAAACAAGUGAAAUUGAAAGAAAAUAUUGAAAAGGAGAACAGUAGAAAAUAAUGAAGUUUGAAGAAUGGAUUUUUUAGGAUUAGUGAAACAAGUGAUUGAGUUAACAGUGUAAUGAGAGAGCUAAUGAUGAUUCCUUUUGUAUUUUUAUAGUAAUUGAUCGAUGGUGCUUCUGGGAAUUUCAAGAACGUAAAUUAAUGUAGUACAACAAAUAUUUUUUUUUUCUUUUUUUUAUGUAUCGUAGGUUAAAAUCAGAGAAGGAUUUUUGCGGAUAAGGGCAAGUUUGACGGUCCAGUACAGCAAGGUUGUAUCGGGUAACAGGACACCGCUCCUCCCGAAAUUGACCUGUCUUUCAGCCACACUUCUUGACUCUCUUGUCGGAGCAGUAACAGGCUUUUUUUUUUUCAUUGUUUCCUUUUUUUUGCCCUUGAACUGCUUCCUCUACUGUAAAAAAAGAAAAAAAGAAAAAGCUCACCUCACAACUGAGAGAGCCCGGGUUCGAUUCCUGGGCGGAGUGGAAAAAUUUGGGCGGUUUUUCCGAUACCCUACGCCCCUGUCCACCCAGCAGUGAAUGGGUACCAGGUAUUAAUCAGGGGUUGUGUCCCAUCUCCUAGGAUCUGUUCCCUUCUAUGAUUCCUUCCCCUUCUGUCUCUCUCUGGCAUAUGACCACAGAUGUUGCACCGACUAAACGAAACUUUCCAACUUUUACUCAACCAAACGCAGAAUACAACGACAACUCCUUGUACGUAGCUUUAGUGUUUGGCGUUGAUAUAGAAAGGAUGAGGAAGUCUUAGGAACCUACCCAGGAAAUCUCUGUAUUGGUACCUGGUGUUAAGUGGAAAUACCGGAUCAUUGUGGAGAACAUGGUUGGUUUGGGGGCUUACAAUAUCCCUGUGUUGGACCGUCAAACUGGCCAUAAGCAUUGUUGUAGUAUUUUCUUUCAAAGUAUAAGAAAUGCAAAGAACCACCAACUCAAGAAUAUAAGCGAAUUAACGGGUUGUCUUAUAAGUAUGAAAUUAGCGCUUUUAGGAAGUAUGUUUUAUAGAAUUAUCGAUGUUUAUUUCAAAGUAAAGAUAGAUUUUUUUUAUAAAGAUAGAAGCAGAACAGUAUAAGUGAAGUGUUUUGGGGAAUAUAUAUAUGAAUAAUUUUGAGUUUUUGGAAGAGAAAAUUUUUGUUAUGGUUGAAGGUAGACUGAUAAAUAUGUAUAAAGAUAGGUUUUUGAUAAAGAUUAAGUAGGAAGGCAUAAGUGAAGUGUUUGUGGAAUAUAUAUAUGAAUAAUUUUGAGUUUUUGGAAGAGAAAAUUUUUGUUAUGGUUGAAGGUAGACUGAUAAAUAUGUAAAAGAUAGAUUUUUGAUAAAGAUUAAGUGAAAGGCAUAAGUGAAGUGUUUGUGGAAUAUAUAUAUGAAUAAUUUUGAGUUUUUGGAAGAGAAAAUUUUUGAUACGGUUGAAAGUAGACAGAUAAGUGUGUGUAAAGAUAGAUUUUUUAAUAAAGGUAGAAGUAGAACAGAAAAAGUGAAGAGCUUUGUGGAAUAUAUGUGAAUAGUUUUGAGUUUUUGGAAGUUAACUUUUUUUAUACUGCAAAAGAUGAAAAAUUAAGUGUACAUAGGAGGGAGAUAUUUGAUAACGAUAAUAGGGAAAUAUAGAAGUGAAGCAUUUUGUGGAAUAUGUGAAAAAUUUUGAGUUUUGGGAAGUGAACUUUUUUUAUAUUGCUAAAGAUUGCAAGAUAAAUGUAUAUAGAAUGAAGAUUUUUUAUAACGCUAGAAGAGAAAGGAAUAAGUGAAGUGCUUUUGUGGAAUACUAUGUGAAUCAUUUUGAGAUCUCGGAAUUGAAGAAGUUUUUAUGCCGUAGUUGUAGAGUUUUUUUAAUACGUAUUGGUAAAAAGCUAAGUUUGUGUGUGUGUGUGUGUGUGUGUGUGUGUGUGUGUGUGUGUGUGUGUGUGAAGGGAGAUUUUUGAUACAGAUAAAAAUAAUAAGUAAUAAAUUAGUUGUAGUAAGUGAAAAAGUGUUUGUGGAAUAUAUGAAUGAUUUUGUGGACUUAUGUAGAAGUCAGGAAUUUUUUUGUUUUAGCUGAAGAAAGUUUUUUGAGAAUUAGAAUUUUAUUAUAGAGAGAUUUUUGGUUGAGAUAAAAAUACUGAGGUGUGAGUGAAGUAUUUGUGGAGUAGUAAUAAUAAUAAUAAUAAUAAUAAUAAUAAUAAUAAUAAUAACAAUAAUAAUAAUA